UUUCUGGUAGAUGAUACAUAUCUUUUCUUGUGAUCUAAAUAAGCGAAACAAAGUCACAAUCAAUAGAACACAAACAACCUUCUUGUGACUUGUAAUAUUUCUACUCUUAUGAAUUAGCACUCAUCCAUGGUGACAAAUGGAAUUUAUCCAUUUGUUUCAGGAGCCUAGCCACACAAUUAUGAGAGAGAGAGAGAGAGAGAGAGAGAGAGAGAGAGAGAGAGAGAGAGUAAUAAAUUACUGAUCCGUGGGAUUGCAUUUAUAUAUAUAUAUAUAUAAAGUUUACAGUUUCUUCUCUUUCAACAGCAGCAAAACACUUUCUAGAAAGUUGAAGGAUCUUCGGCUAGUAUACUGGGAUUGCACCUUACGGGCAGCUAUAUCUGAUGUCACGAUUAUGUGGAUAUCAAAGAAAGGAAGUCGCAAGCUGUUAUGGAUACAAGGAACCGGUGGAAUUUGGUGUUUUGACCUCAUUUGCUUAUCCUCUGGACGGAGAUCUGGGUGAAAUAGUGGUUGCCACAACUCGAGUGGAAACCAUGCUGGUUGAUACUGUUGUUUCCAUAUUUCCUGAUGAGCAAGGUACAAUCAUCUGCAUGGAAAAUUCGCGGCGAUUCAUCCAUUUAAUGAAAGAACACUUCCAAUAAUUUGUGAUGCUAUUCUUGUUGAUCCUAUUAAGGUAAGACCGCGUCGUGAACUUUGCAUGUCAAAUUUGAAUAUAUAUUUUUUUAACAUCUUUCAGGUUGAAAUCGGAUUAUAAAAACCAGUUCAAGCUUGGGAUGAAUUAGAGUUGGGUUUAUGGA